UACGGGGGGGGCAAGCGGUUGUUCGGAAUUACUGGGCGUAAAGGGCUCGUAGGCGGCCAACUAAGUCAGACGUGAAAUCCCUCGGCUUAACCGGGGAACUGCGUCUGAUACUGGAUGGCUUGAGUUUGGGGAGAGGGAUGGCGGAAUUCCAGGUGUAGCGGUGAAAUGCGUAGAUAAUCUGGAGGAACACCGGUGGCGAAGGCGGCAUCC
rnacentral:rRNA from 1 species